rnacentral:tRNA from 1 species
AAGAACAUAGCUAUUAAUCAUAUGGUAAUAAAUUUAAGUUUUAAUAAUAGGGUAUCUAAUCCUAGUUUUUA